UGAGUUCCCAAUAUGUUUCAUAGAAAAUAAAUGAGAACUAUUUUUUAAAAUAUUUUAAGAAAAAGAAAAAAAACAAAAUCCAGUGUCAUAUGAGCGUGGAAUUUUAUCAAAUAAAUUAAUAAAAAGCUGUUAUAAAAUGUCCUGGCCUGUCCUUUCAGCAUGCUUUUCCAACUAAGGGUUCCCAGUAUUUGCGAUGA